CCGGAGGGCGGUAGCUCUACCCCUCCUCCGCCGUUCGUGGUGGCAGGUGGGCGGCGGCGCUCCCGAGCUCUCUAUGCUCGUCCGCUGCAGGGAAAGGAACGAGCGAUUUGGGUAUUCUUUGGUUGAUCAAUCGACAGAUCAGGUUCUGCCCAGCAAGGUUUUUGGCCAAACGGUACAAGUACUGUAUUCCUCUAUGUAUUUUGGUGUUAAAGAAAAUAGUAGAGCCGUAAAGAGGGAAAGAGGGAAAAUUAGAAAUGAAUCAAAUCUAAUGUGUGGAAAAUUAUCAAAGGUUAAAUAAUGUGUUCCAAAUUAUAGAAGUCUAAAGUAAAACGUGGCAAAUAGUAAAAGCUCCCUGCGUCCUCCAGGUCAAUUAACAGGUCGUAAACUCUUGCUCCCAUCUGUCGUCUACACGUCUCAUUUCACAUGGUUUAAUUUAGAAUAUUCAAUCUUCUUCAGGAAACGUAUAUAUGGUAGUAUUGUUCAUUUCUUUCACCUGCAGCCUGCAGGAGCAUUCUUCAGACCUUUGCAAGAGGCCAGGCUGUCCUUCAUCAUGUUCUGAAGAAAGUUGAAAAAGGGAUUUUGCAACGAUGACAAGGUGCAGAGGCUCGCACGGCAGCAUUGACUCGAAGUAUUCACCCACGGCACCACAACGGUCACGACCUUACUACUAGGCUCAACUACGAGAGCAAGCCAUCUUGCUUCUACCGGUUAUCUGGUAUGUUAUUUACUGGAUAGAUUUUUUGAACUUUUCAGCCAAUGUUUAGUUUCAGUUAUGUGGGGCAUGUUGACUCUUGAUCAGAAGGAGGUUGUGUGUUUACAAUGUUGCAUAAGAAGCAUUUUCUCUGAGUUAGUUUCUUGCAACCAAUACAUUGUAAUUAGUUUAAUGAUUUUUUUUAUUUGCAUAACACCUUCUUUUUUAUACAAGGCAAUGUAGAUUUUUUGAAGAAAGGGGAUGAACACAGUGUAUCGAAUUAUGUCCGUUGUUUGCUGCUUCUUAGCAGCAUAUCAUGUUCCUUUCGGUAAGUUUUUGGGUUUGUUAUUACAAAAUAUGAAAUGGACGGAUGCUUCAGUUUUUGUUAUCUACUUAGGAACCAGUAAUAAAAGACGAUGUCGAGACUGUUCUCCUUGGUCUCCUUUUAGUUUUCCGAUGAUUGCGUACUUUCUUGAUUUUUUUUUGUUGUACAUAUAUGUUACUAAGUUAGGUACUUUCAAAAUUUGGCUUUAUGCUUGCUAUUACACCUCCAUGUAAAUGGUACAUAAAUACUCUUGAACUAAAUAACACUUGCUAUGCAGGUAUGGUUAUUAUUAUAGACCUUUAUGUUUGGCUAUGAUUGGUAAUGGACAAUUAAUGAAAUCAGAAUGUCCAAAUAAAGUCAUAUGCAGAUCAAGUUUAUAAAUAGAUGCUCCUAUGUCAUGAGCGAAGAGAUAAAUGCAUUUUACAGGUCUCUUGAUGCCCAAAAGAAUAUUAUCUUUUACAAGGCAUCAUGAUGCAGACUAAGUAUAUAAAUUGAUAACGGAUUCUCAAACAGCCGUGAAAAUUUCAUGGAGCCAACAGAAAAUUAGAACAAGUUCAGUAUAAUCUGAAUUUAUAUCCUCCUUUUACGUAAUAGAAUAUAGUAUUAGAUUUUGUUUGUUUCUAUACUUUUGGACGUAGUUACCGCUCUUCUUCCUGUUUUAGUCGGUACAUUUUAUUUAAACAAAUUUCUGGUUCCUUUGUUUGGUCACGAUGGCUCUGCCAUGCUCCUAUGAUUUUGAUUCUUCAAUACUUUAUGCGUUUGUGCGCCCACUUAUCUAGCAGAACAAAGUAGCAAAGGUCCUCACUGUUACCAUGCAGUUCAAUUGUAGCUUCAUCUACUGGUUUGGUGGAAACACGAAAGCAAGGAUUGGUCAUCUUCACUGCCUUAGCCCUUCACAGUGAUGGUUGGUCUCUUCUGGUAGCAGUUGCCUAAAUAACAAAUCAGUGACUCCAUAAAGAGCUAUAUAUAGGUAUUCCAAUCCUAGAUGCGUUACUACCAAUGCUUUGUGCAUUCAUUGGUCAUACAUUCGUUACCUCAACACCUGGUGAGCUCUUGAAAAAGAUUUCACCGUCUACGGCUGCCGGAUUUUAUAUUGUAAGCUGCUCUUAAAAUGUAAUGCAAAUACUGACAAAUAAGGUCAACCAGUCACUAAAUUAUCUCUCCUUUUAUACCAACCAAAGACAGCUAUUGGCUAUGUUAUCUUAAGCCUUUAUUUGCAUUGGAGCCUAGAAUAUACUUCAGAUUUGUUGUUCCAUUUUGUGGUAUCUCUGUUGAGUGUUACAUUUCACCAAGGAUGUUUGAUUUAGAAGCUAUAAAAAAAAAAUCUUGGCAGUGGUGUUACAUCCUAAGCCUGACACCUAUUUUGCAGACAUGCGAUGUGUAUGUGUGUUUGCCAAGGAAAAUAUGCAUGUUUGGGUUAGAGUUAAAAUGUCAAAUGAUAUUGUGUUUGCCAAGGAUGGAUUGUCAGUGGUGAAGUGGAGUUAUAUAGUGGUUAUCCAAAUAUGGCUCGAUUGGGUGUGGAGUCACUCAGAUCAUUCAUCUCAAGUUAGCUGAUCUGCCGUGCAGCCUAAAUUCAGCACCAAUUAUUGAGUACAUCCUCAGCCCAUUUGCUUUGGUCAAAAUACAUGGAACAAUAACAAAUGAUAGUUCUUCUGACCUUGGUAGUACGAUGGCUACCUACUACUGUACUGAGUGGUGUGUUGUUGCUCAUGUUAUACCAACUUUGCGGCGAGUUAAGUCUUAUCUCACAGAUUGAACACAGCUUUCCUCGGACAGCAGUUGCAAAUGUCCACUAUUCUCCAUAUCUAUACAUUCCAGGACUAUUUUAGAUGGAGUGCUGCCUAUUUAGCUCACGCUAUGUUAACUUUUCAUAAACUAUUUGAUGCACAAGAGAAUUUAUUAGUGUUGGUAUAUAGUAGUUGGAAUUUAACUAUUGCUUAGUGUUUAACUUAGUUGUUGACAUGAACUGCAGGACCAAGAUGGUGUUCAGACAACUAACUUUAUGUAUCUGCAGAAGAUAGUUGUUGUAUCCAAUGUUUAAGUUGCUGUUAGAGCUGAUCAGAAGACAAAACAUCUGAACCCAAGUAUUUAGAGAUGGCAGUGUGGUAGUUACUUUAAUGUGUUUUCCGUUUCCUAAGGAGGCUGUAAUCAAGUUGCUAUUUUUUUCCUUUGCUUUACCUGCCUUUUGUAGUUCCUAUUGUAACCAGCUAAUUUAGUAAAACCUACAGUUUCUCCCUGUUCAGUUCUAAGCUUGGUAUUUUAGUUUCAGUACAUGUACAUCAGCAUAGGGAUCAAAGAGUGUCAUGAUGAUGAAAACAAUAAUGGAACCGGUGGCAGUACCGAAA